CCUACGGGUGGCAGCAGUGGGGAAUAUUGCACAAUGGGCGAAACCCUGAUGCAGCGACGCCGCGUGAGUGCAGAAGUAAUUCGUUAUGUAAAGCUCUAUUAGCAGGGAAGAAAAUGACGGUACCUGAGUAAGAAGCCCCGGCUAACUACGUGCCAGCAGCCGCGGUAAUACGUAGGGGGCAAGCGUUAUCCGGAUUUACGGGGUGUAAAGGGAGCGUAGACGGUAGUGCAAGUCUGGGGUGAAAGGCGGGGGCUCAACCCCCGGACUGCUCGGGAAACUGUGCGGAUGGAGGGCAGUAGAGGUAAGUGGAAUUCCUAGUGUAGCGGUGAAAUGCGUAGAUAUUAGGAGGAACACCAGUGGCGAGGGCGGCUUACUGGACUGUAACUGACGUUGAGGCUCGAAAGCGUGGGGAGCAAACAGGAUUAGAUACCCGUGUAGUC
rnacentral:rRNA from 1 species